rnacentral:snoRNA from 1 species
AGAGCGGUGAUGAAUGCACGUAUUGCUCUGACACCUCUUAUGUUAGCGGUAAAUUUCCGUGCCGCGAUGAGUCCAAUUGGAUCUCUGAGCUCU